UGGAAUUUCUACGCGGAAUUUUCUGUGAGUAUUCAAAGUUGAUUAUUAGAUAUUCUCACUCGCGAAUUGAAUGGCAUACAUCAUUGUCUGUGGAAUUGCUGAAAUAAACCUGGUUAUGAUCAUUGAAAAAAAGGACCAAUCCUGUGAGGAGCACAAAAUACAAAGGAUACCUAGGGAUGUUGUUUAAUAUGGCGGAGAAUCGAGACAUCAAAGGCUUACUUUCGAAGGUGGAACGCGGGAGACCGUGCUAUGCACUUACUUCGGCAUAGAUAAGCGGAUACUUAGGGUUAUCUCAAAAGACCUGUUGAAUGAAAUAUUAGGUCUUGAAAAAGUCAUUUUUAUACCUAGCUUUAUGUGGCUCCUUAACAAAAGCGUAA
rnacentral:lncRNA from 1 species